rnacentral:rRNA from 1 species
AUUGAACGCUGGCGGCAUGCUUUACACAUGCAAGUCGAACGGUAACAGGGAGCUUGCUCCGCUGACGAGUGGCGAACGGGUGAGUAAUGCGUCGGAACGUGCCGAGUAGUGGGGGAUAACGCAUCGAAAGGUGUGCUAAUACCGCAUACGUACUGAGGUAGAAAGUGGGGGACCUUCGGGCCUCACGCUAUUCGAGCGGCCGACGUCUGAUUAGCUAGUUGGUGAGGUAAAGGCUCACCAAGGCGACGAUCAGUAGCGGGUCUGAGAGGAUGAUCCGCCACACUGGGACUGAGACACGGCCCAGACUCCUACGGGAGGCAGCAGUGGGGAAUUUUGGACAAUGGGCGCAAGCCUGAUCCAGCCAUGCCGCGUGUCUGAAGAAGGCCUUCGGGUUGUAAAGGACUUUUGUCCGGGAGCAAAUGCCUGGUGUUAAUAGCACUGGGAGCUGAGAGUACCGGAAGAAUAAGCACCGGCUAACUACGUGCCAGCCGCCGCUGUAA